rnacentral:rRNA from 1 species
UACGAAGGGGGCUAGCGUUGCUCGGAAUUACUGGGCGUAAAGCGCACGUAGGCGGUUUCUUAAGUCGGUGGUGAAAUCCUGGAGCUCAACUCCAGAACUGCCUUCGAUACUGGGAAACUUGAGUCCGGGAGAGGUGAGUGGAACUGCGAGUGUAGAGGUGAAAUUCGUAGAUAUUCGCAAGAACACCAGUGGCGAAGGCGGCUCACUGGCCCGGUACUGACGCUGAGGUGCGAAAGCAUGGGGAGCAAACAGG